rnacentral:rRNA from 1 species
GAUGAACGCUGGCGGCGUGCCUAAUACAUGCAAGUCGGACGAGGGUUCUGGUACUUGUACGGGAAUCCGAGUGGCGAACGGGUGAGUAACGCGUAGGUGACCUGCCCCGAAGAGGGGGAUAACAGUUCGAAAGGGCUGCUAAUACCCCAUAAUAUCUACGGAGUUAGGAAGAAGUAGAGGAAAGGGAGUAAUCCGCUUUGGGAGGGGCCUGCGUCCCAUCAGCUAGUUGGUAAGGUAAAGGCUUACCAAGGCGAAGACGGGUGGGGGACCUGAGAGGGUGGACCCCCACACUGGCACUGAAACACGGGCCAGACACCUACGGGUGGCAGCAGUAAGGAAUAUUGCCCAAUGGGCGAAAGCCUGAGGCAGCAACGCCGCGUGCACGAAGAAGGCCUUCGGGUCGUAAAGUGCUUUUCGGGGAGAAGAGGAAGGACGGUAUCCCCGGAAUAAGGUUCGGCUAACUACGUGCCAGCAGCCGCGGUAAAACGUAGGAAUCGAGCGUUAUCCGAAUUUACUGGGCGUAAAGCGCUUGUAGGCGGCAUGUCAAGUUGGAUGUAAAAGCUCCCGGCUCAACUGGGAGAGGACGUACAAAACUGACAAGCUAGAGGGCGACAGAGGGAGGUGGAAUUCCCGGUGUAGUGGUGAAAUGCGUAGAUAUCGGGAGGAACACCAGAGGCGAAGGCGGCCUCCUGGGUCGCGACUGACGCUCAGAAGCGAAAGCUAGGGGAGCGAACGGGAUUAGAAACCCCGGUAGUCCUAGCAGUAAACGAUGUAGACUAGGUGUUUGGGAUGUAAAAGUCCUGGGUGCCGAAGCGAACGCGAUAAGUCUACCGCCUGGGGAGUACGGCCGCAAGGUUAAAACUCAAAGGAAUUGACGG